rnacentral:rRNA from 1 species
AUUGAACGCUGGCGGCAGGCCUAACACAUGCAAGUCGCGCGAGCGGCGGACGGGUGAGUAAUGUAUGGGGAUCGGCAUGAUUGCGGGGGAUAACUACUGGCAACGGUAGCUAAUACCGCAUAACAUCAGAUGAACCCAUAUGGGCUUAGCUAGUAGGUAAGGUAACGGCGUACCUAGGCGAAGAUCCCUCGCUGGUCUGAGAGGAUGAUCAUCCACACGGGGACUGAGACACGGCCCAGACUCCUACGUGAGGCAGCAUUGGGGAAUAUUGCACAAUGGGCGCAAGCCUGAUGCAGCCAUGCCGCGUGUAUGAAGAAGGCCUUCGGGGUGUAAAGUACUUUCAGUCGGGAGGCGUUACCUACAGAAGAAGCACCGGCUAACUCCGUGCCAGCCGCCGCGGUAAUAC